rnacentral:rRNA from 1 species
GAUGAACGCUGGCGGCGUGCCUAAUACAUGCCAGUCGAGCGAACGGACGAGAAGCUUGCUUCUCUGAUGUUAGCGGCGGACGGGUGAGUAACACGUGGAUAACCUACCUAUAAGACUGGGAUAACUUCGGGAAACCGGAGCUAAUACCGGAUAAUAUUUUGAACCGCAUGGUUCAAAAGUGAAAGACGGUCUUGCUGUCACUUAUAGAUGGAUCCGCGCUGCAUUAGCUAGUUGGUAAGGUAACGGCUUACCAAGGCAACGAUGCAUAGCCGACCUGAGAGGGUGAUCGUCCACACUGGAACUGAGACACGGUCCAGACUCCUACGGGAGGCAGCAGUAGGGAAUCUUCCGCAAUGGGCGAAAGCCUGACGGAGCAACGCCGCGUGAGUGAUGAAGGUCUUCGGAUCGUAAAACUCUGUUAUUAGGGAAGAACAUAUGUGUAAGUAACUGUGCACAUCUUGACGGUACCUAAUCAGAAAGCCACGGCUAACUACGUG